rnacentral:rRNA from 1 species
AUGGAUGGAAUCAAAUACGCUGUAUUUACAGAAAAAAGUCUUCGUUUAUUGGGAAAGAAUCAAUAUACUUUUAAUGUCGAAUCGGGAUUCACUAAGACAGAAAUAAAGCAUUGGGUCGAACUCUUCUUCCCCUGGAACCGAUGA